UACGGAGGGCGCAAGCGUUGUUCGGAUUCACUGGGCAUAAAGAGCAUGUAGGCGGCCUACCCAGUCGGAUGUGAAAGCCCACGGCCCAACCGUGGAACUGCAUUCGAUACUAGUAGGCUCGAGAUCGGAAGGGGUGAGUGGAACUCCAGGUGGAACGGUGAAAUGUGUAGAUAUCUGGAGGAACACCGGUGGCGAAAGCGGCUCACUGGUCCGAUUCUGACGCUGAGAUGCGAAAGCUAGGGUAGCGAACGGG
rnacentral:rRNA from 1 species